UACGUAGGGUGCGAGCGUUGUCCGGAAUUACUGGGCGUAAAGAGCUCGUAGGUGGUUUGUCGCGUUGUUCGUGAAACUCACGGCUUAACUGUGAGCGUGCGGGCGAUACGGGCAGACUGGAGUACUGCAGGGAGACUGGAAUCCUGGUGUAGCGGUGGAAUGCGCAGAUAUCAGGAGGAACACCGGUGGCGAAGGCGGGUCUCUGGCAGUAACUGACGCUGAGGAGCGAAAGCGUGGGGAGCGAACAGG
rnacentral:rRNA from 1 species